rnacentral:rRNA from 1 species
AACGCGAAGAACCUUACCUGGUCUUGACAUCCACGGAAGUUUUCAGAGAUGAGAAUGUGCCUUCGGGAACCGUGAGACAGGUGCUGCAUGGCUGUCGUCAGCUCGUGUUGUGAAAUGUUGGGUUAAGUCCCGCACGAGCGCAACCCUUAUCCUUUGUUGCCAGCGGUCCGGCCGGGAACGCAAAGGAGACUGCCGGUGAUAAACCGGAGGAAGGUGGGGAUGACGUCAAGUCAUCAUGGCCCUUACGAGUAGGGCUACACACGUGCUACAAUGGCGUAUACAGAGGGAAGCGAGAGUGCGAGCUGGAGCGAAUCUCACAAAGUACGUCUAAGUCCGGAUUGGAGUCUGCAACUCGACUACAUGAAGCUGGAAUCGCUAGUAAUCGUAGAUCAGC